rnacentral:lncRNA from 1 species
CCUGACAUUUCUGAUCUCAUGUUUUCAUCCCACUGAAGAGACUUGGAAGCACCCUGUCUUUUACUGUGAGACACACUUCCUGUUUUAAGGAUUUUACAGUUUGGCAGAGAGAUAAGAGAAGUGAACGGCCAUCAGAAUACAAUACAUUAAAUGUCAAGAACAAGAAAAAUGAACUGCUGUGCAAUGGAAAUUCAGAAGUGAGAGAAUUGUUUUCCUGCCCAUUUCUUUGUGUCCAAAAUCCCAUUUGGAAUUGAAGUAUGUAUUUUGUAUUACUAUGCAGUCAUUUCUUCAUACAAAAAUCUUAAUUUGAUGGGAUUUAACCUCUAUUUUUUGGUCAUUUGGGAUUUCAUGGAGUCUGGAAUGAAGGACACAGUUAAUUUGCAUCUUCAUGCAAUAACUAUUCUUAAAAAAAAAUAAAAAAACCUUGAACAAAAUAAAGUUUAUAUGUUUCUCAUGCAAGAGCCCAGAGGAAGCAUGGUUGUCUAGACGAGGCAGGUUUAUUAGACAGGGUUUCCCCAGGUGUCUUUUCUCCUGUACCUCAUCAUUUCUAAGAGUUUCUGGAUAAUAACUCUUAAGAUGAUAUUAAAGGGAAAAAAGACAGAUUUUUGACUCACUAAAUAUCUAUGAGUGUACUUGAUAUUAAAGGC